rnacentral:lncRNA from 1 species
UCAGGACAAAAGGAAGACAUGCAAUCACAUUUGGACAGCAAGAACAAGUCUUAGCAGUGAUAUCAGAGGAAGAGCAAGAAAGACUUGAAGAAAGUGAAAACAACGAGCUACAAAUUUCUCAUGGGCAUAAGAAAGAAAAAGAUCUGUUGCAUAAAAAUUGCAUGUUGCAGGAAGAAAUUGCAAGGCUAAGACUGGAAAUAGAUGCACUGAAAAAUUGGAACCAGCAAAAGGAAAAGAAUUUUCUUGAGGACAUUAAAAUUGCGAAAGAAAAGAAUGAUUUCCUUCAAAAUGCUUUGAUGCUGAAAGAGGAAACAUUUGCAACAAUGAUAUUCCAGGACAGUAUACAGCCUGAAGUUUUGAAAGCUGAGAAUGAAAUGUCCAGUUUUAAAUUGAAGGAUAAAAGCCAAAACCAGGAGAGACUGGAAAGAGAAAUUGAAUCAUAUCGUUGUAGACUGGCUGCUGCUCUACAAGACCGUGAUCAAAGUCAGGCAUCAAAAAGAGAUGUAGAAUGUGAUUUCCAGAGGACAAGAGAAGAGUGGUUUCAUUUAAAGGAAAAAAUGAAUUUUGAUAUGAGUAACCUAAAAGAUAAGAAUGAGCUGCUUUCUGAAAAACUUUCUAAUGCUGAAAAUAAAAUCAGAAGCCUCAAAAUGAAGUGGCACCAGACAAAAGAUGCUCUAAAGGAAAAGACAUUGGUUUUAGAAGAUGUCCAAAGAGACCUAACCCAAUCACAAUGUCGGAGGAAAGAAAUUGAACAAAUGUUUCAGAAUGAAGAAGACAAAGUGAGUAAAUACAUUCAAAAGCAAGAAUCUCUAGAGGAGAGAUUAUCUCAAAUACAAAACGAAAAUCUGUUACUUCGACAGCAACUGGAUGAGGCUUACAAGAAAGCCGACAAUCAAGAAGAGACAAUAAUUAAUAUCCAAGAGCAAUUUAAUGCUAUUGUCAAAAAUCAAGCUCAGAGUGAAGAGCAAAGUCUUCUACUAGAGCAGAAAAACAACAACUUGAUCAAUAAAUGCGAUUUCAUAAAAAAAAGAUUGUAUAAAUAUGAAAAAGAGAAAGCAGAAAGAAAUGAAAUUAUGAGACAACUUCAACAAGAACUGGCUGAUACUGUAAAAAAACAACCUAUAUCAGAGCCUCCACUAGAGGCUACACCAUGUUAUGUUAAUUUAGAUGAAACACAGGCCUCAAAGAGGAAAUCAGAUCAAAUCAGAAGUCAAAUUGUCUCUUCACUCUGUUGGUUGUUCCCUUUGCUAUGAAGAAACUUAAAUUUUAAUAUAGUCUCAUUGGUCAGUUUUCGCCUGUGUUUUUGAUGUUUUAGUCAUCACAGCUUUGCCUAGACCAAGGCUGAUCUUACAGAAGCAGUGGAAACUGCAUCUUCAGAAGGUCUACAUGUGAAUGCAGAGAUUGAAGUUCUUCAACAGGCAUUAUUAUAUAUGAAAACAAUGCAAGAGAAACGUGAAACACUACAGAAGGAUCAGGAGAAGUUGGAAGAAGAACUAGUAAACCUCAAAAGUCACAUGGAAAUGAAUAUGUUAGAAUGUGGUCAAUUGGAACACUAUAAACAGGAGGUAGAAGAAAGAGCAAGGCAGGAGAUAGCAGAACAAUUAGAAAACAUUGGUCUACUUUUACAGUCACAGAAAAUAGCUCAUGACCAGUUACAGUUAAAAGAGGAAAGCAAUGCUACUAUGAAAAGUCAGAUGGAACUUAGAAUUAAAGAUCUGGAAUUCAAACUCUACAAAGCAAGAACUUCACAAGCGGACUGUAAUACAACAGAAUUGGAAAAAUAUAAGGAGCUGUAUCUAGAAGAAUUAAAACUUAGAGAAUCUUUGUCAGAUGAACUAAACAAGCGUAAAGAAAUUCUAGCAGAUGUCAGUACCAAACUUCUUCAAGAAAAAGAGUGGAGCAGAUCUUUAUUUACUUCUCAUACUACAAGGCCAGUCCUAGAGUCAGCAUGCAAUGGAAAUCUUAAUGAAAAUUUAGGUCUCAGCAGAAUACAUAUUCCAAGAGAAGCCUUAAGAAUUCCUACCUUAAACUCAUUGUCUUCAAAUAUCAGAAUGGAGAGCGACUUGUCAAAGGAAGACAAGAAUGGAGGACACUUUCUGGAACUCCAGGCUUGACAACAUCUCUCGGUGUUGUGACUCGCAUCCUGUUGUGAGCAGUUAUGGUGCCAGGGAUCACCAGGUGGGUCCACUAUUCCAAGGUAAAGCUGUAUGACUCAUCUCUGGCAGAGGAAGUCGUAAAGGUCCCACUGGACACCUGGACCACUGAGCCCCUCCAGGGUCUCAAACUCCUCUUCAAGCAAAGCCAAAAGAAUAAAGAUAAGUAAAUUAGUAAUGCUUUGGAUUGUUAUACCAUGAAUCGUAAUACUCCUUGCAGGUUUACUAAUAUGUCUUUGCUACUGUGAACCAAUACCACCCCCCACCCACUGCCAGGAAAAGGUCUGUUCUUCCCUACCUGGAUUUAAAUCUCAAAGCAAUAAUCUGGGUGGUGUUCUCUCUAAUACUCACUGAGUUAACAAGUUCUUUUUCCAUAAUCAACAGACAUCUUGAUUUGGCUCUAAUCUGUUCUUGUUGGGACCAUGCAGCCAAAUGCUCUAUGCUCACUAAUGCUUCUAGCUAAAAUCACCCUCAUAGGCCCCAACAGCCCACAACUAUAUAUAAAAAAAAAUCUACAAGAAGCUCAACAACUACCGAAGUUCACCAAAUCUUCCUAUCCCUCAACCUAUGGGCUAAGCAUGAAUUAUUUCUAUCCAGGGCAGGAACAGCCUACCCAGCCACGAUACAAGAAUAGAAAACUUCUCAAGCCCAGUUUAGCUUCACCUAUCACUGAGGCUUCUCUAUACAAAACCUUCCCAGAGAUGCAUACAGUACCUAACACAAGCAAAGGGGACUUUCAGGCUUUUCUUAAGCCCACUUGCACUAUUUUAGGCCCCUUGUUUUCCCCCUUCACCAUCAGUCAGGUACUCCUAGGCAUCACUACUGCCACAGAUUCUGGAACUUUGGUGGGUUCUCUCAACCCUGCGCACUGCAACACAACCAUCACCAUUGUCAAUACCUCUCAUACUUCUUUUUUUCUAGAAACUGAAAUCUCCCAAUACCAAGUAAGGUUCUCUACCUUACCAAGCCAGUAGUGGUCAUGCAAAAAUUUCAAAUCUUUAACUCCCUUUGGAGGCUCUUUUCCUUGACAUUACUAGACACAUGCUCUUCUGGGAAAAUAAGAACCAUCCUCCUAUUCAAACUACUCACUCAUGUCUGGCUCCCCUAGCAGCUGCAACUUUAGUGACAGAAUAUCACAUCUUGCGUAGCCAACAAUGGUAAUGUUUGGAAUUGACCUUGCCUCCUUCCGUAUCCAUUCUUGUCUACGUAUGACAGAACUUUGUUUUCUAUGUGGGACACAGGCCCACCUCUGCCUCUCUGCAAACUGGACCAGAACACGCAUGCUGGCUUACCUCACCCCUAGCAUCUCAUUGCCCCAGGUGAUGCUUCUCUGCCCUUGCUCUUAUUUAUAACCUCACACUGGGGCCCACCAAGCAAUUCAAUUAAUUCCCUUUCUCGUUGGGCUUGGCAUCACCACAGGUGCCAUGAUGGGAAUAGCCAGCAUUGGCACUUACUCCUGAACCUACCACAGCCUGUCUCUGGAAUUGGCCCAAGGGAUAGAAACGACUAGUUGCUGUAACAGAGUUACAGUGGCAAGUCAGUUCUCUCGCAGCUAUAGUUCUCAAACAUGGUAGAGGUCUUGACAUGCUGGCUGCAGCUCAGGGAGGAACUUGGCUGUGCUUGGAGAAGAGUGCUGAUUUGGGUUAAGAGAUCAGGGCAGGCUCAGGAGCACAUUUGAGAUCUCAUAAACUAGGCUUCUCACCUUUGGGAAGGGGCUACUGGGGUGUCACCUGGUUCUGAUUCUCAUGGCUCCUCCCCUUCCUGGGACCCCUGACCUCUAUCUUCCUUCUUCUCUUUUCUGGGUCUUGCUUCUUGAAUCUACUAAGUAAGUUUAUUUUAUCCCAUCUAGACGCCGUCAGACUUCAAAUGGUCUUGUGACAAGGAUAUCAACCUCUUUCCUGCCCUUGAGGACAACCAAGUUUCUGUAUGUCUCCUCUGGACACUGUGGGUCAAACCUUUUGAGAGACAACAACAACCUCUGAAACCCUCUUGCCAUGACAGCAAGCAAGGAGGAGGGACCAGAAGACCCUCGACGCCCCUUUUCAGCAGGAAGUAGCUACAGAAGAAUGACCUCCACCCUAUUUCCCAAAAGAUUUCUGGGUCCCAACUCCUUAAGGAAUAAACGUGAAAGGGGGCAGUUAGUCAGAUAUUAGCAGGCAGGAGGGGAGGUACCCAUGUUGGAAGGAACAGCCCAGACCACCUCUUAAGAUGCCCAGUACUCACUUUAUGGUCAAACUCAAAAUGUGGCUAACUAGAUCCUGAUAAGGGAGAAAAAAGGCAAAAGCAGAAUUCUUGAGAGCCACACAGGUGCAAUGAGUACAAAUUUGAUGGCUAUAUGACCUUCCCGGGUGGCAGUAAUGAGCAACGUCCCCAUCGGGUGGAAUUUGUAUUGAUCACUGCGUCCAGUGCAUGUACAUGAACCACAGUAAGGGAUGAUCCCCCCAAGCCUUGGUGAGAACUGGACAAGGAAAGAAGCAAGACCAUAGAAUAUCGAAUGCAGAAUGUCCCGGGGCUGUUUCCAGCAGGGUCAGCCCACUCCUCUGUUGGAGUGUACUUUUACUUCCCCAAUAAAACUUUUGCCUGCUUUA